AAGUUUAUCUAUAACAAGAACAAAAUAACACAGUAUGGAGUAGUAGCAGAGAAAUUGUUAUUUUAGGAUUGCAGACAAUGCAUUAGUACAAAGUGGUUAUGAUUCAUGAAUGAAAUCAGAUCUUAUUGAUUGACUUCAAAACAAACAAGGACUAGACAAAGUAUAUAAUAUCGUGUACACAAAUGCUACAGUCCCCAUAAAUAGUGUUUAAUAAUUGGCAAAAAAUACUGAAAGCAAAUUAAAACAUAAUUCUGUAUCUUGGAAAAAUGAAUCUCAAACAAAUACAAUUUAGUAUGUUGCACGUUAUUUGAAGCAAAAAAAUAAAUAUUUGGAAUUUGUGUACACAAGUUGAAGUCAGUGACAUUAACGACGCUUCUGUAGUAUGUGCACUGAGAUGGCGUACAACCUGAUAACCCUAACAUGGUACACAUACUAUGUUCAGGCUGUGUGCCAUCUUGGUGCACAUGCUGGGACGGGAUGCACACACGGGAGCACCUAUUAAACAUAUAAAGGUAUUCAAACUCAGCGAUUGUGUGAUCUUAGGUAGGGUUAGGAACUGAAUUUUAUGAGAAUGUCUUCAAGACACGAAAAUGGAAAUCACAAAAGUAAGUGAGAUUGCAUACUAGUAGCAAGUCGAAAUGAUAAAAUAUUCGUGGCAGUAAAGGAUCAGACCAGGAGAUUGCACUCUUUCAAAUGUUUGUGUAAAUAAAAUGAUAACUAUAGGGCUGACUAUGUGCUAUUAGGUGAAAUCUAUGAAAAAGUUGAUCUGUCAUAAAAAUGUUUAGAUUAGCUGGAUGGAUAACCUUGGAUGCAACAAUUGGAAUACAGUUUGCAUAAAAAACAGUAGCAAUAAAUAAACUAUAAAACAAGAUUAACAAUGAGAGUGAUUUUUAUGAUUGAUCCAAGUUACAUUAACAAAAAUAGGAAAAUUAUUUUAAUAGAAGCAAUUAUGGCAAAUAAACAACUCUUACUAACAUGGAUUAGCAAACAUACACUAAAGUUUAAUGUUUUACAUGCCCUUUACAAAUAACAAGUAUCUAAUUUCUCAUUUAACAUUUGCCUUAUAAGCUAAAAUGCUGAAUAAAUAUUAAAUAUUACUAGAUUAGAAUGGUUCCUUUAUGAAAUUUGAACAUAAUCAUAUUCCAAGAACUUGUGAAAUACUACACGAAGCUAUUGUGUUAGAAAGUAUCUUCAAUACAUUUUUGUACCAGGGUAAAGUUAACUAUAACAAAAUAGGAACCUCCGUCUGCUGAACGAUUAUUAUUACUUUUUAAUGAGUUGUCCGAAGCAAUGAUCAGCAAUGAUACCAAAUCUGAACUGAAACGUAAUUUUGAAGUACAAAGAUAGUUUUGGAGAUAAAACUAUAUCAAGUCCCAUGUCACAAUUCAUUUGUGGGCAUGUAGUGGACCUAUGGAUCGUUUUGUUAUUAUGUUGUUGUUCUUUGACACAUAUUGAAAAACCGCUUUUCUUGUUGAUUACUGGACGAAUUGCUUUGAAAUUUUCAAUGGUUUAAGAUUGAUUUGCCUGAAGGCUAUUACUUUCAUGUAUUUCCAAUAUUUCUGAGAGCUGCAUGGAAUUCAUUUCUUUUGUGCUAUGACCUCAUCAAAAAUUGCCACUAUGUGGCGGUUCAUCGUGCGCAGCGGGUCACGAGGUCAGCGAACAUUGGUGCUUCUAGUGUUUAGCGAACCGUCAAAGGUAAGCUGGACUACUGCUUCGCUCAGGCUGCAUGUCCAUAUAUUUGAGCAUCGCUCUCUUGUUGAAAGUGCAAACUAUAAAGUUCUUGAUCCCCUUUCUGGCACAAAUAGACUCACUUCAGUCAUUGCAGCAAUAUCCCUAAAGACUAGAUAACCUUAAUCUUCAUAUCUGAAAUUAUAUCAAAAUACUUGACAGAGUUUCAAGUAGUCAUUAUAGACUUAAUGUCAUUUACGAUCAAAUUUUAUAAUGGAAUUGGAAGUUCGGGGCUUUUACUACAGUUAAUUGACAUGACAUGUGUCUCGCUCGGAUUAACGAUAGGAUCUACAUAUCUAUCCCAGGAGAGAGAUAAUGGACCAGAUGGUGGAGGAAGCUGUAACCGACCAGCAGUUAUGUGAACCACCCAACUGCGACGAGGAGUCCAGUAAUCCUCUCGCACAUAACCAUGGGGUGACGAGCGUAUUCCUAACAAUCUCCACAUUUACCCUGCGAACCUACACAGACUGACAUAGUGUAAGUAAUAAGAGGUGCGAUGCCAAGCUUAUUCCGCUCACAGGCUUAGCAUGAUGAGCCACACCACUGCUAAUUUGAAGUUAGACAAUUCAGCAAUUAAAUAUAUCAAAUGGUUAGAAUGCAUAUUAACUUUUUGCUUAGGUCUGCGGAGUUCACUCAAACAGUCAAAUGGCUUUAGCAGUUUCACUUUUUAGUUUAUCGCUUGCUCCACACAAUGCUGCAAUGUUACCAGUCCCAAUUUGACAUACCGUGUUCGUGCCUACAUCUUGCCACACAAUA